rnacentral:rRNA from 1 species
GUGAACGCUGGCGGUAGACCUAACACAUGCAAGUCGAACGGCAGCACAGUAAGAGCUUGCUCUUACGGGUGGCGAGUGGCGGACGGGUGAGGAAUACAUCGGAAUCUACUUUUUCGUGGGGGAUAACGUAGGGAAACUUACGCUAAUACCGCAUUCGACCUACGGGUGAAAGCAGGGGAUCUUCGGACCUUGCGCGAUUGAAUGAGCCGAUGUCGGAUUAGCUAGUUGGCGGGGUAAAGGCCCACCAAGGCGACGAUCCGUAGCUGGUCUGAGAGGAUGAUCAGCCACACUGGAACUGAGACACGGUCCAGACUCCUACGGGAGGCAGCAGUGGGGAAUAUUGGACAAUGGGCGCAAGCCUGAUCCAGCCAUACCGCGUGGGUGAAGAAGGCCUUCGGGUUGUAAAGCCCUUUUGUUGGGAAAGAAAAGCAGCAGGUUAAUACCCCGCUGUUCUGACGGUACCCAAAGAAUAAGCACCGGCUAACUUCGUG